rnacentral:rRNA from 1 species
ACAUGUACGGAACCCUGCUGAGAGGUGGGGGUGCCCGAAAGGGAACCGUAACACAGGUGCUGCAUGGCUGUCGUCAGCUCGUGUCGUGAGAUGUUGGGUUAAGUCCCGCAACGAGCGCAACCCUUGUCCCUAGUUGCUACGCAAGAGCACUCCAGGGAGACUGCCGGUGACAAACCGGAGGAAGGUGGGGAUGACGUCAAGUCCUCAUGGCCCUUAUGGGUAGGGCUUCACACGUCAUACAAUGGUCGGAACAGAGGGUUGCGAACCCGCGAGGUGGAGCCAAUCCCAGAAAACCGAUCGUAGUCCGGAUCGCAGUCUGCAACUCGACUGCGUGAAGCUGGAAUCGCUAGUAAUCGCGGAUCAGCAUCCCGCGCUGAAUACGU